CAAGAGGCUACAUGAAGGGAAUUAUUUUGUUUGUCUUGACGGAGUGGGCGAACUAGAGAAAAUGGUGACAAGAGACGGAAAUCUAUCUUAGAGUUUGUGUGGAUCACAGCCAUAAAACAGGGAAAAGGAAAAGCCACAGCAGCAUUCUCCAGUGAGGAAGACAAGGCAGACUCUCCAUCUGGAAGGCGAUCCUGCCUCAUCCCACAAGGCACCAGUGCACACUGCUGCACAGUCCACGUUAUCUGCUGUGGCUGCCGAACUAUCCAGUCUGUGGGGGUCACUGUGCAUCAACCUCAGCACUCAGGACACAAACCCCAGCUAUUCUGAAUUCUACUCCAGGUUUAAAGAGAAUCCCAGUUCCCUCUCUGGGCUCCUGGAUGAUGGAUACUUGAGACUCUGAAGGGUACAUGUAGUCUCUGGAUAAAUGAGAUGCAGUGGAGAGGGUUUCCUAGAGAGAUGAAAGGACAUUCUGAUCUCACAUUCAGCAUCAGAGUGGACAGGAUUUUAGAACACAUGAAGAACCAUGCACGAGGAUCACUUGGGAGUUAUUGUGUUUAAAUAAAAGACUGAAAAGGUGAAGAGGAAGGAGAGGCGCCUGCUGGAAAGGUGCUGGAGAAGAAAAGGGCGCAGAAACAACCAAGGGAAGGAAGCCUGCGGUGUUCACCACAUAAGCUGCUGUAAAAACCCCCAGGGUAGGAAAGGAAGACCACUCCACCCAUUGCAACAGCCAGUCUGGGACUGGAGGCCUGAGGCAAGGGCUCGGCCACGCACUGGGAAGGCAGUUCACAGGAGUCUCCUUGUCCAACUACACCGUGGAAGCCUGCUGUAGAUGCCUCAACCAGAGCACAGUCAGACGCACCAUCUCCUGAAGCCAGCUCCAAGUGUCAGAGUUCAUUCCGUGAUCAAACAGUCAAGAGGUUUGGCUGAUACAAACAGGCCCGAGAGAUGAGGACUGAAACAAGAAGCACACAGAGCGGUCAGCACCCGAGAGCUGCCUAGUACACGGCAAAGGCAGGACGAGAAGAAAGCAGCCUUCCCGUUGUCUCAGUGCUCCGCCAGGACAAAGCAGCCCAGCAAAGCGGGAAGUACAUCUGCCAGUGAGACACUUGGGGCGGUGCUUUCUGCUCGAUCAGAAAUAGCUGUGGACAACUAGACAGCUGGUUGUGCAAGAGCUUAAGAACGACAGAACAAAUGCAGAGAAACAAGGAAUUACAGUAUACUGUGACCAGUGUUAUAGCAGGGCAAGCUCAUUCUGCUUACAGAAAAGAGAAUUCAAAAGGUUCCAGGCUUCCUUGAGAAACUGAAACAGAGGGCUAAGGAGACAGCCAUGCAGAGCGCGUGGGAGGCGUGCCGGAGAGCUGAAACGGUGCCAUUGUAGACCCAAGGGAGAGCACAAGGCCCUCACUGACGGACGGACGGACCCAGUGCGGAGCCGAAAACAGGACUGAAGAGACAUUUCACCCUGCGUUCCCCUUCUCUGGGAUCUUGCAAAUGCUCUCAGUUCUUUUCUCUAGUCCACAUGUGUGCUUGUUAUGUUUGAUGUGGAAUCAGGGGAUUUGAAACUAAUUACAGCUCUAACCUUGUGGUUAAACACACAUUAGAAUUUUAAGACUGGAAUCACGACAUAAACCAGAGGGAGAAUGGAUCUGUUGCAAAAGCAAGAUAUCC
rnacentral:lncRNA from 1 species